ACGGGAGGCAGCAGUGUGGUAUAUUGCACAAUGGGCGAAAGCCUGAUGCGGCAACGCCACGUGUGGGAAGAAGCAUUUCGGUGUGUAAACCACUGUCGUGAGGGAAUAAUGCUCGGUUUCGGCCGAGUUGAAUGUACCUCGAAAGGAAGCACCGGCAAACUUCGUGCCAGCAGCCGCGGUAAUACGAGGGGGUGCAAGCGUUGUUCGGAAUCACUGGGCGUAAAAGGAGCGUAGGCGGAGAUGCAAGCAGUCUGUACAAUACCGGGGCCCAACCCCGGACCUGCAGACUGGACUGUGUCUCUUGGAUAGUUCAGGGGCAGGCGGAAUUCCUGGUGUAGCGGUGGAAUGCGUAGAGAUCAGGAAGAACACCGAUGGCGAAGGCAGCCUGCUGGGGACUCAUCGACGCUGAGGCUCGAAAGUGCGGGUAGCAAACAGGAUUAGAUACCCUGGUA
rnacentral:rRNA from 1 species